CGCGUGGAUGACGGUACCGUAAGAAGAAGCACCGGCUAACUACGUGCCAGCAGCCGCGGUAAUACGUAGGGUGCGAGCGUUAAUCGGAAUUACUGGGCGUAAAGCGUGCGCAGGUGGCGUCGCAAGUCAGGCGUGAAAUCCCCGAGCUUAACUUGGGAAUUGCGCUUGAAACUACGAUGCUGGAGUGCGGCAGAGGGAGGUGGAAUUCCACGUGUAGCGGUGAAAUGCGUAGAGAUGUGGAGGAACACCGAUGGCGAAGGCAGCCUCCUGGGUCGACACUGACGCUCAUGCACGAAAGCGUGGGGAGCAAACAGGAUUAGAUACCCUGGUAGUCCACGCCCUAAACGAUGUCUACUAGUUGUUGGGGGAGUUAAAUCCCUUAGUAACGCAGCUAACGCGCGAAGUAGACCGCCUGGGGAGUACGGUCGCAAGAUUAAAACUCAAAGGAAUUGAACGGGGGGCCCGCACAAGCGGUGGAUGAUGUGGUUUAAUCGACGCAACG
rnacentral:rRNA from 1 species